GCCCAGGUGAUGAAAUUGGUAAACAUGACAGACUUAAAAUCUGUUGAGGGCAACCUCCUGUGGGUUCAAGUCCCACCCUGGGCA
rnacentral:tRNA from 1 species